UACGAAGGGGGCUAGCGUUGCUCGGAAUCACUGGGCGUAAAGGGUGCGUAGGCGGGUCUUUAAGUCAGGGGUGAAAUCCUGGAGCUCAACUCCAGAACUGCCUUUGAUACUGAAGAUCUAGAGUUCGGGAGAGGUGAGUGGAACUGCGAGUGUAGAGGUGAAAUUCGUAGAUAUUCGCAAGAACACCAGUGGCGAAGGCGGCUCACUGGCCCGAUACUGACGCUGAGGCACGAAAGCGUGGGGAGCAAACAGG
rnacentral:rRNA from 1 species